rnacentral:rRNA from 2 species
UUUGACCUCGAAUCAGGUAGGGAUACCCGCUGAACUUAAGA